rnacentral:rRNA from 1 species
UACGUAGGGUGCAAGCGUUGUCCGGAAUUAUUGGGCGUAAAGAGCUCGUAGGCGGUCUGUCGCGUCUGCUGUGAAAACUCGGGGCUUAACCCCGGGCCUGCAGUGGGUACGGGCAGACUAGAGUGCGGCAGGGGAGACUGGAAUUCCUGGUGUAGCGGUGAAAUGCGCAGAUAUCAGGAGGAACACCGGUGGCGAAGGCGGGUCUCUGGGCCGUAACUGACGCUGAGGAGCGAAAGCAUGGGGAGCGAACAGG